AUGUCGUCGAAGCGCCACUCCGACGUGCUGGGCGGUGGCCGGGAGGCCAAGCGCCAGCGCCAGCGCCGCCACCUUUACUUCGUCGUGAACGACGGGGACGGGUACGCCAUCCGAAAGACAUAUCUAUCGUCGGACUACGACUCCGACGACGACGACGCGCGGCAUGAGGACGGGGAGAUCGAGACGGUGGGCGCCGCGUGGUCGCCACUGCCGCGGCCCAAGCGCGCCGCCCCGGCCUUCGACGUCCGCACGCGGAGCCUCACCCCCGGCCCCCGGCCUGAGACGGGCCCUCUGAAUCCAAUCUACAUGCCCCUCGGCCGCAGCCUCGUCUCCCUGGACUUUGGAUCUGCGGAGUUCCUCGACCCCUCCCCCGCCGGAACGCAGCAACGUCGGUUGUCCACGGUGUCUCGCCGAGCCUCAGUUUGUGCUGACGAAAAGAAAUCGCCGUUCAUGCGGCGAGGCGUUUGUGCGCCGAGAAAAAAGUGUGCUCCUUCUUCUAGCAACAACAGCACCGAGAGCUGCGGCGUCCGCGCCACGUUCACCUUCGACGCCGAUGACGUCGUGUGGAGGAAACACGGAGACUGGAAGUUGCCGUUCAAAGGCCAGGCGGUCUUUGACCCCGCGCUUGAUGCCUGGGUUGGCCUUUCCGGGGACAAGCGCACCCUCGGCCACCUCUGCUCCUGCGACGUGGCGCCCAUCAGCUCCGACGCCAGCAGCACCGUGCAACCCUUGGCCAGUGACGAUGCCGGCGCCAAGCCCACGGCUGGUGGUGUGGCGUCCACCGGCGAUGAUGAUCCCGGCAGGGGCAGCAACCCACCCCCUGCCUGGAAGCUCUGCAAGGAGAAGCUCUUCUGCCAGGACCCAGCCGAGAAACACCAUGGCGCUGCCCUCGUCUACAUGGGGGGCAAAAGUAAAUUCUGCCUCCUGCAAUGCGUCUAUGCUGUAGACGAGAAUGAGAUGGACAGCGACGACGACGAGACCGACCCUGCUUACAGGGCGGAGGAGGACCUACCUCGUCGCCAUGUGCUCCAGCUAACCACGAUCACCCUCAAGUAUGAGGAGAAUGGACAACUGAGGACUGCCAAGCGCCGCCGGGUUCGAUGCUACCAGCUGCUGCCUCAUGCACGUCCGCUCCCCAAUGAUAUCCGAGCCUUCUGGAUAUAA
rnacentral:rRNA from 1 species